GAUGAACGCUGGCGGCGUGCCUAAUACAUGCAAGUCGAGCGAACAGACGAGGAGCUUUCUCCUCUGACGUUAGCGGCGGACGGGCGAGUAACACGUGGAUAACCUACCUAUAAGACUGGGAUAACUUCGGGAAACCGGAGCUAAUACCAGAUAAUAUAUUGAACCGCAUGGUUCAAUAGUUAAAGACGGUUUUGCUGUCACUUAUAGAUGGAUCCGCGCCGCAUUAGCUAGUUGGUAAGGUAACGGCUUACCAAGGCAACGAUGCGUAGCCGACCUGAGAGGGUGAUCGGCCACACUGGAACUGAGACACGGUCCAGACUCCUACGGGAGGCAGCAGUAGGGAAUCUUCCGCAAUGGGCGAAAGCCUGACGGAGCAACGCCGCGUGAGUGAUGAAGGUCUUCGGAUCGUAAAACUCUGUUAUUAGGGAAGAACAAAUGUGUAAGUAACUAUGCACGUCUUGACGGUACCUAAUCAGAAAGCCACGGCUAACUACGUG
rnacentral:rRNA from 1 species